rnacentral:rRNA from 1 species
CCUACGGGCGGCAGCAGUGGGGGAUAUUGCACAAUGGGGGAAACCCUGAUGCAGCGACGCCGCGUGUGGGAAGACGGUCCUCUGGAUUGUAAACCACUGUCCCCAGGGACGAAGAUGAGGGUACCUGGGGAGGAAGCUCCGGCUAACUACGUGCCAGCAGCCGCGGUACUACGUAGGGAGCGAGCGUUGUCCGGAAUUACUGGGUGUAAAGGGAGCGUAGGCGGGACUGCAAGUUGGGUGUCAAAUCUACCGGCUCAACCGGUAGCCGCACUCAAAACUGCAGUUCUUGAGUGAAGUAGAGGCAGGCGGAAUUCCUAGUGUAGCGGUGAAAUGCGUAGAUAUUAGGAGGAACACUAGUGGCGAAGGCGGCCUGCUGGGCUUUUACUGACGCUGAGGCUCGAAAGUGUGGGGAGCAAACAGGAUUAGAUACCCCAGUAGUC